CGGCGUGAAUGGAGCGAGUUGCGGCUGAGCUACAUGCGCCACUAUGGGUGAUGAGGUCCAUCAGCUGACAGGCCCUCCCCUGGCUCCUGGAGGGUGGGCCCCAGGCUCCAGAAGACCAGCCUGCCUUGGAAUGUCCUGCCUCCUGCCCACCACCUUUCUCAGUCCCAUUCACCUUCAAGAACUGCCUUGACCCAGCCUGGUCCCCAUGAGCUCUGUCACUAAGACUGGCCUCUCCAUUUCUGCAAAAGGCACCUUCUCACAGAGAACCCUCAGAUGCACAAACCCCAAGUCCUUCGAGCUGGAUCAGCAGCUCCUGCCCUAAGGCCUGAAAUACCAUCACUGCCCCCAGUCCUACACUCCAACUCUCUCCCAUUACUAUAGCAGUAGCACAAUAAGUCCCCAAAAUCCAGGCCAACCUCCAUUCCCAGGAGGUUCUGUACAUCCCUUAAUCUGAUCCCAUUUCCCUCCCCUUCCCAACUCCUAAACUCAAGUUCACUGUGCUUUCUGGAGCCCUCAGAAGGUGUUCAGCAU